rnacentral:lncRNA from 1 species
GGAGUAGUUCUUGUUAGUGGGUAUAUUGUGGGUUGUCUCUAAUGUUGUAUGGUGACUUGUUUUCACCCUAAGAUAGGUUCAAAUUACGCUACAAAUAAAGAUCCUAGAGUAUAAAAAAUGUAAAGAUAAUAAUAGCCCUCAGCCACUUGCGAAUAACAGUUAAAAUGUAUUAGAAACCUUAUAACAAUUAUUUUGUAUGAAUUCUAUAUAAAUAGUUAGAGACAAUAGUGUUCUUCGCUUGGUUACUGUCUGGUGUAAAGUACGACGGUAUGCGUGGAGCUAAUGCGUGCGUGCGCAUAUAUGUCCAAUAUGUAGGGUUAAGAGGCCUCGAGCUACCUCCUAUAAAUGCGUGUCUCCAGUUCAUCACAUCAUAAAUAUUGUGGCAUGUUAGUUGGAGCAUCACAAAGUUAACCUUAUUCAUGGGAGAUGGGAUCGGACAUAGUAUUUGUGAGCAUUUUUUAGGACAAUUUUGCAUUUCGUA